UACAGAGGGUGCGAGCGUUAAUCGGAAUUACUGGGCGUAAAGCGCACGUAGGUGGCGACGUAAGUCGGGUGUGAAAGCCCCGGGCUCAACCUGGGAAUUGCAUUCGAGACUGCAUUGCUGGAGUACGGAAGAGGAAGGCGGAAUUCCCGGUGUAGCGGUGAAAUGCGCAGAUAUCGGGAGGAACACCAGCGGCGAAGGCGGCACUCUGGGCUGGAACUGACGCUGAGGAGCGAAAGCGUGGGUAGCAAACAGG
rnacentral:rRNA from 1 species